GUGAUUUUGGUUUUGAGUUGAAGCCCUUAUAUACUAUCAUAAAAGGGGAUUAAAGGUCAAAAGUUUUGAUGAAUUUCUACCUUGCUUCCAAGGGGGUUUAAAUUACUAUAAAAGUGAAAAGAGAGGUUUACGAUAAGCUGCCGACUGGGGGAUCUAGAUUCAAGGGUGCCUUGUGUCAGUAUCUCUGGACAACUUUUUGGAAGUACAAAUUCAAAAUCAUAGCCAAAUAAGAGUCUGGAAGAUUAUUAGAAAGAAGAAAAAAGAAAAGGAAAGAAGGAAGCGACAUUUAGAAUGGCUGGAGACAGACAUCAUUACUUUGGAUGUUAACUCAGACAUCAGACAAAGAGAAUGUCACUUUAUAAAGCCAAAGUUGUAGCAAAAUUGCAGCACAUGCAUGUAGUUUAUACAGUGUGCAAGUGUUCGGUGAAAAAAGGAUCUUCCAAUUACAGUUUCCAUUUAAGAGCAUCAGUUUUUGAAGUACAAAAUUGAUUUGUGUAUCGCGUUUGCCUUUGCUGAAAGAGUACUCUGGGACUAAGCUCGAAAGUUAAAGUGUAAAAGUUAAAGUUUGGUAAAUCAAUUCAGCAAAAUGACCUAUUAAUGAUUUGAAUCAAGUAGAGUUAUAUGGAGGGCUUGAAGAGAGACGAAAUGUGCUAAGAAAGCCAAGCAAUGGUUUAACUGUUGAUAGGUAGCAAAGAGGAUAAGUAAGCUAAGGUGAGAUUGGCGGUGAUUAAUGGGUAUUAUUAGAAAGAUUACUGGAUGAG